rnacentral:snRNA from 1 species
AGAUGUGAGGGCAAUCUGGCUGCAACAUCUGUCACCCCAUUGAUUGCCAGGGUUGAUUCGGCUGAUCUGGCUGGCUAGGCAGGUGUCCCCUUCCUCCCUCACUGCUCCAUGUGCAUCCCUCCCGAAGCUGCAUGCUCAGUCGAAGAGGAUGAGCAUCUCCACUGGAGGAGGACUGGUCUUCAGUCAGGGGUAUACGAGCAGCUGCGCUCCCCUGCUAGAACCUCCAAACAAGCUCUCAAGAAUAUCAAGAAUGUGACAUAUGCUUUGUAUUUUUUGAAACUUGGUAUUUUGAAAUGAUACAGAAUCAUGAUACAUCAUA